rnacentral:rRNA from 1 species
AGGUGAAACCGCGAAUGGCUCAUUAAAUCAGUUAUGGUUCCUUAGAUCGUACACAAUUACUUGGAUAACUGUGGUAAUUCUAGAGCUAAUACAUGCAGCAGAGCUCCGACCUUUAGGGACGAGCGCUUUUAUUAGAAAAGACCAAUCGGACUCGGUCCGUUGCUAUGGUGACUCUGGAUAACUUUGGGCUGAUCGCACGGGCUCGUCCCGGCGACGCAUCUUUCAAGUGUCUGCCUUAUCAACUGUCGACGGUUGGUUAAAUGCCUACCGUGGUCGUAACGGGUGACGGGGAAUCAGGGUUCGAUUCCGGAGAAGGAGCUUUAGACUUGGCUCCUGCCUCUAAGGAGAACAGCAGGCGCGCAAAUUGCCCAAUCAUAGAUUAUGGAGGCAGUGACGAAAAAUAACAAUACGGGACUCUUUUGAGACCCCGUAAUUGGAAUGAGUACACACUAAAUCCUUUAACGAGGAUCAAUUAGAGAGCAAGCCUAGUGCCAGCCGUCGCGGUAAUACUAGUUCUAAUAGCGUAUAUUAAAAUUGUUGCGGUUAAAAAGCUCGUAGUUGGAUCUCAGUUCCAGACGGACCACCCGGCUACCGCUGGUUAUGGUCCGUUCUGAACAGCCAGUCGGUUUCCCGUCAUGAUCUUCACCGGUUGUCUCGGGUGACCGGCACGUUUACUUUGAAAAAAUUAGAGUGCUCAAAGCAGGCGUGACGCCUGAAUAGUUGUGCAUGGAAUAAUGGAAU